rnacentral:misc_RNA from 1 species
UCGUGACCUAAGCACAUCCGGCAACGACGUCCCUUUGAUGUCCCUUCGUUGUUUGACGUUUUCGCGUUCUAUGGUACCGGUGGUAUUUGAACGUGAACUCUCACGGUUAGCCGUGCGAUCUUCACGUUCAAUUGCCCCGCAUACAUCAUGUCGCGUGAGUGGUUUUUCGGUAGCGCAUGUUGGCAGGCCCAGUUGUGUAUUCACUGGACUGCACGCGUCCGCUCCUCUCAGUGUUUUGUUCCUCGUUCAGUGUGGAAUGCGUUGGUUCCUGUGUUGCAUACCUCAUAAUGAUCGGUAUUGUCAGUCCCGGAUGCUUGUUUCGUCAGUUGCCCUCAGCGGCAUGCUGGUGAACCACUUAGUAGCGCUUGUGUUCCACGCGGCGCCCUGCUUGCGGGGUAGCGAUGGGCCAUGAGCGCAUACUUGAUCUCUUGGAUGCGGAAUGCUAAAACAGGCACGGGGCCUACAAGCCUCAGAUCAUGUGCCUAUACAGUUCCUUGAUGGAAGACGCUCGUGCCACUCUGCAGACCUUUGUUCCGAAGCGAUGCAAGGGGCCGACGUCGUCAACGGAUGCUACCUGGUUGAUCCUGCCAGUAGUCAUAUGCUUGUCUCAAAGAUUAAGCCAUGCAUGUGUAAGUAUGAACUAAUUCAGACUGUGAAACUGCGAAUGGCUCAUUAAAUCAGUUAUAGUUUGUUUGAUGGUAUCUACUACUCGGAUAACCGUAGU